GUGGUGAGUGGACAGCCAUGUUUGUAUCUUUGGUACAGAGAUCACGUGUAUUGUAUGCCAGCAACCAUUUUGCUGGGAUUAUUUUGUUCUUUUUAAUGGACAUGAUUAUGACAUUGGGUUCAUGUAGUUGCUUUCUGUUGAUUCUGUGAAAUAGACUGAUACAUGGACUAACAGCCACCAAGAAUGGCUGCAGAUUAUGAUGGAGAGAUGAAGGAUACUUGUGGGUGCAAGUGAGGAUGUGCUGUGCUGUGCUUCAGAUUCAAGUGAAGAGAGCCCACGUUCUGCAGAGCCUAAUGAGAAUGCUAGGUUG
rnacentral:lncRNA from 1 species